UACAGAGGUCUCAAGCGUUUGUUCGGAUUCAUUGGGCGUAAAGGGGUGCGUAGGCGGCGCGGUAAGUCGGGUGUGAAAUCUCGGAGCUUAACUCCGAAACUGCAUUCGAUACUGCCGUGCUUGAGGACUGGAGAGGAGACUGGAAUUUACGGUGUAGCAGUGGAAAUGCGUAGAGAUCGUAAGGAAGACCAGUGGCGAAGGCGGCCUGCUGGGGCAGUUGCUG
rnacentral:rRNA from 1 species